UUCCGCUUUUGUCCAUUUUACAUUGCGUGUUCAAAAGCUCGACAAAGCUUGUUUUAUGUUUGCUCCAUUCUUCUCGCUGUUGUAAUUGCCCACUUCAGGCAGACCGGUCUUACAUGGAUGCACAUUUAGUAGAGUGCGCGGCCGCUUCCAGUAGGCUGCACGUUCAAACUAAGAAAUCUACCCAUGGGCACGUAACGGAUGAAAAUCGUGUAUACUGAAGGUAAUGAGCUUUUGUCGCUAAGAGCGUCGCUAACACGCAGUCGCCUCAUCGAAUUGUCACUAAGCCGUCUAUGAUGCUGGGAAACAGACGCGUUUAUACGAGAUCGCGAUCAUGUUGCAAGUUCAGAAAGCCAUAGAUAAAUAUGUGUUAAAAGUGAAAAGUUAGACAGAACACUACAAGGAAUUGGAUUUCAUUGAAACGAUUUAUUGAAUAUAUCGAGCAAACAUUUUCAAGGUUUGAUGACAGUGUGAUAUACUUUUUACAUGUGUGGCUCUGACCUCGACUUUGAUUAUCAGAUGUUUAUCAACGAUUCAUGUGCUCAACCUGUUGAUCUCUCCUAUCAUGAACCUGUUGGCUCUUUAGCAAAGACUGAAGGACUGAGUUGUAUCACUGGUCCAUUUAGAC